GAUGAAGAACGUAUCGAAAUGCGAUAAGUAAUGUGAAUUGCAGAAUUCAGUGAAUCAUCGAAUCUUUGAACGCACAUUGCGCCCGCCAGUAUUCUGGCGGGCAUGCCUGUUCGAGCGUCAUUUCAACCCUCAAGCCCCCGGGCUUGGUGUUGGGGAUCGGCGUGCCCUCGCGGCGCGCCGUCCCCUAAAUCUAGUGGCGGUCUCGCUGUAGCUUCCUCUGCGUAGUAGCAACACUCGCACUGGAUCGCAGCGCGGCCACGCCGUUAAACCCCCCACUUCUGAAAGUUUGACCUCGGAUCAGGUAGGAAUACCCGCUGAACUUAAGCAUAUCAAUAAGCGGAGGA
rnacentral:misc_RNA from 1 species